rnacentral:rRNA from 1 species
UACGGGGGGGGGCAAGCGUUGUUCGGAAUUACUGGGCGUAAAGCGCGCGCAGGCGGUCUUCCAAGUCAGUGGUGAAAGCCUGGAGCUCAACUCCAGAACUGCCAUUGAAACUGUUAGACUUGAGUACGAGAGAGGUGAGUGGAAUUCCCAGUGUAGAGGUGAAAUUCGUAGAUAUUGGGAAGAACACCAGUGGCGAAGGCGGCUCACUGGCUCGUAACUGACGCUCAGGCGCGACAGCGUGGGGGAUCAAACAGG